rnacentral:lncRNA from 1 species
CAACUAUCUUGUUGACUAUUCUAUAUUGAUUUAGACAUCGGAGGAUCCCUACAUGAUACAGCUCCGAUCAAUGUGGACUUCUUUUGCAGGUUGCUCUUCACCGGAGUCAAGCACAGUCAAGGAUUGGCCGCAACAACUCUUAACCAAAUGAGUAGAAUGGGAGUUAUUCAUGCCCAUUUCCAUUCAAUAAUCCAACUCUCCCAAACCUAGUAUAAGU